UCUCCCCUUUCUGGUACUGGCAUUCGACACUGUGCUUAGCGCUGUGGCUAAUUUAGUCACGGCUCACUUUGGUUUGAUUUCGUGAGUCUAUUGGAAGGUUAUAGCCAUACGAGAUGUCAACUGGUUAAUGUUUGCGUUUGGUUGGAUUGCCUAUUCAGCAUCCCGUUGUUUCUGCACUGCCGUACUCCUGUGCCAGUUUUGUUUGGUGUGGCAGAUAGCAGUAUUGUCCAGUUUGUCCCUUUUACGUCAACUUUUCGGUUUUAGACUGCUCGGCGCUCACUGUGUUAAUUUGACGUGACUGACUGCUGCAGUAAAUGAAACCUGUUUGAGGGUGUCAGGUUUCAUAUAGUUGAAUUACCCUUAUUUAAUGACACAUUGUCUUUUUCUUUUAGUAAUGUGCUGGAGGGUUCCUGCUGCAGUGUGUGUUUUAGUCUGAACAUCAGUACCCAGAAAUACGCUGCUGUCUUGUUCCUUGUUGAUUUGUUUUGUUGUUUUUGUAUUAGUUUAAUUUUGCUUUCAUGUAUUAGUUGUUUGUGUUCUUCUCUGUUGGAUUGUUCAUCUUGGCUCCAUUGGCCUCUGUAUGUUAUAUGCCGAAUGUCUGGUGACCUUAUUCAUUUAGAUUUAUUAUCUGAUUGUUUAUUUCCUUUUGACCUGUGUGUGUGCAUUUCAUUUUGUUUGGUUGAUUUGGUUUUUGAUUACAGGUGCUGUGUACCCAACAAAAGGCAGGGAGGCAGAUUUUCCACACUUGUGCAGUGUUGUGCCGUGUCGAUCACCAACAGUAAAUCUCACUGGGUAUUGUGUGAGUGUGCACUGAUAGUGUGGUAAUUAAAAUGUAUGCUUUUUCUAGGAGUUUGAUACCAGUUGGCCACAGCCCUGUAUAUCUUUUUGUGGUGUUUGUGUAUUUUGGAGGUCAGCAGCAAGCAGUACCAUUUUAAGUUUGUUGUUGCUCAUGUGAUUUCUUUUU